GAGUUUGAUCAUGGCUCAGGAUGAACGCUGGCGGCAUGGAUAAGGCAUGCAAGUCGCAAGGGUUAGACCCUUGGCAAACGGGUUAGUAAUACAUAGGAACGUACCCUGAAGUCGUGAAUAAUCCGGAGAAAUCCGGAAUAAUACACGAUAUGCUCUACGGAGUAAAGAUUUAUCGCUUCAGGAGCGGCCUGUGUCCUAUCAGCUAGUUGGUGGGGUAAUGGCCUACCAAGGCAAUGACGGGUAGGGGGUGUGAGAGCAUGGCCCCCAACAUUGGAACUGAGACACUGUCCAAACUCCUACGGGAGGCUGCAGUCGAGAAUAUUCGUCAAUGGGCGAAAGCCUGAACGAGCGAUGCCGCGUGUGGGAUGAAGGCCCUUGGGUCGUAAACCACUUUUGUUAUAGAAAAACUUACGUGAUGGUAUAUAGCGAAUAAGAGGUUACUAACUCUGUGCCAGCAGUAGCGGUAAUACAGAGACCUCAAGCGUUAUCCGGAUUUAUUGGGCGUAAAGAGCAGGUAGGUGGAAAUAUUAGUCAGAUGUCAAAUCCUUCGACUCAAUCGAAGAACUGCAUUUGAAACGGUAUU
rnacentral:rRNA from 1 species